rnacentral:rRNA from 1 species
CCUUAUGCAUGGCAGUCGAGCGAAGCUUUUCAGUAGUUUACUACAGAAAAUGACUGAGCGGCGAACGGGUGAGUAACGCGUGAGCAAUCUACCUUAGUUACAGGGAUAGACCGAGGAAACUCGGAUUAAUACCUGAUAUUCUUUAUUUCUCGCAUGAGAAUAAAAGGAAAGGUCAGCCGAACUAAGAUGAGCUCGCGUUCUAUCAGCUAGUUGGUGAGGUAAAAGCUUACCAAGGCUACGACGGAUAGCUGGUCUGAGAGGACGAUCAGCCUCACUGGGACUGAGACACGGCCCAGACUCCUACGGGAGGCUGCAGCAGGGAAUAUUGUGCAAUGAACGAAAGUUUGACACGGCGACACCGCGUGUGGGAUGACGGAUCUAGGUUUGUAAACCACUUUCAGGAGGGAAGAAAAUGACGGUACCUCCACAAGAAGCCCCGGCCAACUACGUGCCAGCAGCCGCGGUAAUACGUAGGGGGCGAGCGUUGUCCGGAUUUAUUGGGCGUAAAGAGCUCGUAGGCGGUUCAACAAGUCGGUCGUGAAAGUUCAGGGCUCAACCCUGAAAUGUCGAUCGAUACUGUUGUGACUAGGAUACGGUAGAGGUGAGUGGAAUUCCGAGUGUAGCGGUGAAAUGCGUAGAUAUUCGGAGGAACACCAAUUGCGAAGGCAGCUCACUGGACCGCUAUCGACGCUGAGGAGCGAAAGCUAGGGGAGCAAACAGGAUUAGAUACCCUGGUAGUCCUAGCUGUAAACGAUGGAUACUAGACGUAGGAACUGGAUUGACGGUUUCUGUGUCGUAGCUAACGCGUUAAGUAUCCCGCCUGGGGAGUACGGUCGCAAGACUAAAACUCAAAGGAAUUGACGGGACCCCGCA